AUAACGGUCCUAAGGUAGCGAAAUUCCUUGUCGGGUAAGUUCCGACCUGCAUGAAUGGUGUAACGACUUCUCCGCUGUCUCCAACAUAGGCUUGGUGAAUUUGAAAUAUCCGUGAAGAUGCGGAUUAAUUACAGCUAGACGGAAAGACCCCGUGCACCUUUACUAUGAUUUUAAGUUGUAAAGUUUUAAUUUUUGUGUAGAAUAGGUGGGAGCAAAAGCAACAAGUGAAAUACCACCCUUAAAUUUUAGCUUUACUCAAUUUUAUAAACAGCUUAUGAGAGGUAGUUUGACUGGGGCGGUCACCUCCUAAAAAGUAACGGAGGUGUACAAAGGCAGAUUUAAAUAUUAAUUUAUUUUAAAACGUAAUGGUGUAUAUCUGCUUAACUGAUAAGAUUAACAAAUCAAACAGAGAUAAAAAUUUAUUUUAAAUUUAGUCGGUCAUAGUGAUCUGGUGAAUUUGAGUAGAAAAUUCAUCACGCAACGAAUAAAAGGUACGCCGGGGAUAACAGGCUUAUAAUUUUUGAGAGUUCAUAUCGACGAAAUUGUUUGGCACCUCGAUGUCGGCUCAUCACAUCCUUG
rnacentral:rRNA from 15 species